AGUAGCUCAGUUGGUUAGAGCAUCUGACUGUUAAUCAGAGGGUCGCUGGUUCAAGCCCAGCC
rnacentral:tRNA from 1 species